GACGAACGCUGGCGGCGUGCCUAAUACAUGCAAGUUGGGCGCUGAAGGUUGGUACUUGUACCAACUGGAUGAGCAGCGCACGGGUGAGUAACGCGUGGGGAAUCUGCCUUUGAGCGGGGGACAACAUUUGGAAACGAAUGCUAAUACCGCAUAAAAACUUUAAACACAAGUUUUAAGUUUGAAAGAUGCAAUUGCAUCACUCAAAGAUGAUCCCGCGUUGUAUUAGCUAGUUGGUGAGGUAAAGGCUCACCAAGGCGAUGAUACAUAGCCGACCUGAGAGGGUGAUCGGCCACAUUGGGACGGAGACACGGCCCAAACUCCUACGGGAGGCAGCAGGAGGGAAUCUUCGGCAAUGGACGAAAGUCUGACCGAGCAACGCCGCGUGAGUGAAGAAGGUUGUCGGAUCGUAAAACUCGGUUGGUAGAGAAGAACGUUGGUGAGAGUGGAAAGCUCAUCAAGUGACGGUAACUACCCAGAAAGGGACGGCUAACUACGUG
rnacentral:rRNA from 1 species